CGUGUAGGCGGUCGGGUAAGUCGGAUGUGAAAGCCUUCCGCUCAACGGAAGAGGUGCAUUUGAAACUGCUCGGCUGGAGUACGGGAGAGGAGAGUGGAAUUCCCGGUGUAGAGGUGAAAUUCGUAGAUAUCGGGAGGAACACCAGUGGCGAAGGCGGCUCUCUGGUCCGAUACUGACGCUGAGACGCGAAAGCGUGGGGAGCAAACAGGAUUAGAUACCCUGGUAGUCCACGCCGUAAACGAUGGGCACUAGGUGUAGGGGGUAUUGACCCCUUCUGUGCCGAAGUUAACGCAUUAAGUGCCCCGCCUGGGGAGUACGGCCGCAAGGCUAAA
rnacentral:rRNA from 1 species